UACGUAGGGAGCAAGCGUUGUCCGGAUUUACUGGGCGUAAAGGGCGCGUAGGCGGUCGUGACAAGUCACUUGUGAAAUCUCCGGGCUUAACUCGGAACGGUCAAGUGAUACUGUCGGACUAGAGUACAGAAGGGGCAACUGGAAUUCUCGGUGUAGCGGUGAAAUGCGUAGAUAUCGAGAGGAACACCUGCGGCGAAGGCGGGUUGCUGGGCUGAUACUGACGCUGAGGAGCGAAAGCUAGGGGAGCAAACGGG
rnacentral:rRNA from 1 species